CACGGGAGAGGGAGAGAGAGUUUGUUUCACAGUUACUUGGUGCUUGCAGGCUCUCUCUUUUCUACAAGGUAGGUAGUAUUACUUCUCCUGUGUCGUGGACAGAGACCUUAAGGGUAGUGGUUAAGACCUUGUUCUUUCCAGAUCUGCAGCAAAGCUGUGUGGGGUUCCUUAGCCUGCUCAGAGCAUCCUGGUGCUGUGUUGUGGCCCAGGCAGAGCUGUGGGCAACGCAGGAGGGAGUCCAGCUGCCUCUCCUGCUUUUCUGCCUGACACUGCAGACGUAAACGGGUAGUAUUAAUCAGAAACCAUGCCUGAAAGGCAAGUGGAUUUUGUGUUCAUCUAAACAGGGGAAAUCCUGUGCACAGAGAUUUCAGGACCUGGUGGCUGGAGUGCAGAAUGCAUGGGGAGAAAGUCCGCUUUUGCAGAACGUUUCCCAAGGCAUCCAAGGACUCUCUCAAACCCACAAAGCCUGCCCCAAAACCACAGCUGCAUCAAAAGGGGAAGAGUCCACAGCAGAACUCGGAGCACAUUAAACCUUGCAAAAUAGGUCUCUUUCUGUGGCGAGGGGUAUGUGUAUAAAUACAUACAUACGUGUGCGUGGAGGGGGAGCUGGGUUUGUCCAGCAUGGGAGCUGAAAGCGAAAGCAGGCUGCAGGAAUGCUGAGCAGGGCGGUGAUUUCAGGCAGGGCUGGAGUGCGUGGAGGAGCAGCCCGCAGCCGUGGCUCCGCAAGGAGAAUGACCCGUCUUCCCAGGCCAUAAUGCAGUGUAAAUAAAGGAGACUGGCUGGUUUGUGAGCCACAGAGGUAAAUUCAGCAAGCAUGUAAAUGGAAGAGUGAAAUAGUGGGAAGGGAGCACCAAGAAACAGCGUGCAGAUGUAAAGAUGUCCAACGCAUGCAGGGUGCGUAGGCCAAAAGGAGCGUGAUUUCUGUGUGGCAGUAAGGAAGAAUGUAGGAAAAGAGAGUAAAAAGAGGAUGUUAAAAUAUAGCCAGCUGUCUAACGUGCUGGUACCACCUCUGUUCUUGUCAGUGCUGACACAACUUUAGCUGCUGUUGAGUGGGAGUUGUGCAGGCGCCCAUGCAGGCGGUGUUCAAUGUUCAAGCUGGCCCCGGUGAGACUCUACCUGAGGUGGCUGCAUUCCUGUGCGUUGACUCAGGAGCUCUGAGUUAACUCUUUCGAGGAUGUAGGACCUUGCUGAGUGGGUGUGGGACCCUCAUGGACAGCUUUGCUGGAGCUGGAGUGACACUGGCCAAAGGGAUCUUGCCAAAGAAAGGAAAUUCAGGGAUUCUGGACAUAGUGUCUGCCAGAGCUGUUGCUUCAUUUGGACAAGCCUCUGGUGCUUGUGCACACUUUGUGGACUUGCCUACGGUAUGAUUUGCAGUCAGAGCUGCAUAUUUUGGCUGUUGUGCUUCUCCAGCUUCAAGUUUCCAUUCCUAGGACAUGACCAUGUCCAAGGCCUGAACUAACACAGACUAAUGGUUUGCUACAACCCUAUGUGAGGUAGAUAAUUCCUGCCUUAAGUGAGCAGGCAGACAUACUAAACCUCUGAGUUAAGCAGGUGUAGAGCCUACCCUAGAUCUCAGGACUCUGUAGCUCCUGGGCACAGUGGACUCACCUCCUGGAUCACUUUCGAAAGCACAGAAGAAGGAAAUGCCCUGGAGAUCCCGGCUGCUAUCCCAGUUCUUGUGAGCACAAGGUCAGCAGAAGAAAAGCUACUCCAUGCUACAGCUGGGCUGCAUGCAGACAGGCUCCAGUGAGCAAACCAAAACCCUUGUUCCCCCGUCAUGUCAUCCAGGCCAGGGAUGUGGUUGGAGCUCCCUGACCUCCUUUGGCUCACCCAUCCAGUCCUCCUUCCCCAGGAACCAGAACAGAUCUGCUAUAGCCCUCAAGAUGGGAAAACCAAGGAGUGGCAGAGACCAGGGAUUGCAGUAGCGUUUCCAUCUCUGGGAUUAUCUGUGUCUCACUUUCCACUGGAGCAAAAUUCACUUUCACACCCCUCAAAGUCAGCCUGCUGUGGAAGUGAUGGAGAGAGAGGAGAGCAAGCAGGUAAUGCAGCAGGGGAGCAUUUCUAUGCACCUUUCCUGGGUAGAAGCAUCCUCUCCGUUCCCAUCACUUUCAGGACCAGCUGUGAUUUCUGGCCAUGCCACACACAGCCAUCACCCUCUGGGUUCCUUUCCCUUUCAUUGUCCCUCUGGAGAACAAGACUCCUGUUAAAAACCCUGCAAGUAUCACUGAGAGCCAGCCCUAUUAUUCACCAGCCAGUGAAGCAAGACAGGCGUAUUCUCCCACAACCUAGGGAUGCCCCUCUGAGCUGUUACCAAUGGGGCUAUCUUUAAUGGGAUCAGAGCCUGCCCUUUUCCACAUCCCAGUGGGACAACACCUGCCCACCAGAGAACAAAGAGGAAACCUGUUGUGAUGGGAAAAAAGACAGAGUUCUCCCCAGAGAGGCAGCGAGGCUGUUUGAUUAAGAGCAUCUUUCUCCCAGCCAGCUGGUUUGCUACCAAAACAACCAACUAAACUUAAUCUUUAUGCAAGAGAGAAAAGCCUCUGUGAAGCAAAUGCCACAGGUCCAGUUUUAGUCUCCUAUGAGAAAUCUAUGGAAAUCUUUGCAGAAAAAAGGCUGUAGGAGCAGGAGGAAAAGAUAUUUUUGCCUAAAACCACUAUUUUAAAUUUAUUUUUUAAAGUAAAUUCAAAGCAAUAUUUAAAAUGCUGCAGCAAAGAUAUCUAACCAGAAGCUUCAUCUCUAACUUGUCCUCCUCAAAAGACCCAGCAGUUACCCACUGCUGUACAUUUCUCUCAAGCUGUGUGUCUCAGGGAUCUCAAUACAUCUUUGCAGAGAUGCAGGAUGCCAGCCAGGCAGCUCUAAUUCCAGCUGUGCCUUCUGCACGAAUGUCCCCUGGAGACUGACUGUCCCACGUGUGCACAUCUGCCCCAGGAGUGCCCUUCGUCUGGAGCAUCCCAGCCCUGGGGUGACGAGCUAGGACAGGGCCAACCAACACACAUCUCCUCAACAGCUCUGCCGGACUCCAAACCGGGCUGUGCCUGCUUUUUGGCUGUCCAUUUCUCGAAUCGGAGACCAUGGGCUUGGUUGCCAAUACUUAUCCCAUGAGCGUAGGUGCAGGCUCCAAGGGGGCCAGAAGAAAGUUAUCUGUGUCCCAGGGGCCACUUUGUGCUACGUGGUUCAUUAGUCUGUCCAGAGUUAGGGUGGAAGAACUCAGGCAUGCUUGGAUGUGUUUGUGCAUCCCAGUUUCUUUGGCAGUUCUGUGAUUCUGGCAGAAGUGUAAUUGUGAGCGGAGCUUUAUUCCAGUGGAUGCAGCACGUAACAAGAAGUUCACCUUCAGUUAGAGAGGAUCUUAAUAUGACCUUCCGUAAAAAAGGGGCAUUGUUUUGAGUUGUUAAACAGCUGCUGUGUUCUACCUCAGUAAUGGUUGCAGUUCAGCAGUGAAUAAUAUAGGCUUUAGAUAAACAGCCGGUAAAAUAAUUUGGGAUCCUUCCUGGUGGGGGGAAGCAGGCAAGUUACUCUACAAAAAUAAAUGAUUAUUCUCUCUGCCUAGGAAAUGAAGUGGUCUUUUCAUCACCAAGUGGGCUGGCGCAUAAAAUCUCUUCCCGCUCUUGUGCGCUGGAAACAGCCCGAUGCCGUUUGUGGGACUCUCACCAUCUUCACCUUCGCAGGAAGCAACAGGCUGUUUUAGUUCGGAUUCAUGCAUCCUCUCUCUUUUCUCCUGCGAACCUUGUCUGCUUUUCCAUCUCAUCCCCAAUAUUCUUAAAAAUAACCCUCCCAAAAUGCCUAUCUACUGUUCUGCAUGGGCACGGACACCAUCUCCUUUUUUUGAGCAGUCACAACGUGACUCCAAAUCUCUCCCUCCCGCGAAGCACCGAGUGUCCGCUCCGUACACGCCGCGCCUGCCGCGCUGGGGCAGGACGGCAGAGCGCCGGGCCUUGGGUCUUGGCCUCCAUCGGAUGAACAAUUUCCCGUUGAAGGUUACUCACUUCCUGUUUUCCGUAUUUAGACAAUCUGGGGAGGCUUUGAUUUGUUGUAAACUUCAGCUGGUUUAAACGUUAAGUCGCGGGAGACCGAGGCGGGGGUGGGGAGGAGGGGAAAAGCCUGGAGACAAAUUAGGGCUAUUUCAUACCGUGACUGUGUUCUGUCGCUGUUUUGCAGUGCCCAUUGGAGCAUGUGAAAGGAAGGUCAGGGGCUGACAGCAUGGGAGAUGGAGACAGGGCUGCUUCACACCGCGCUGCGUGUGCGCGGGGCUCCGUGUGCGCGCACGGCAUCGGGAGCAGCCGGGCAAUCCGCUCCAAUGACUCAUUUCUCCAGUGUGUCAUCUUUGCUGCACACAGCGGGAUGGAGAUGCUAAGGGCAGGGCAACAGGUCAGCAGGGAGGAGGCUCUAACCUGGAGAGGAGAGUGCUGUGCCCUUUCCCAGCGCCUAUCAGCACACACCACACGCUGAUGUUUGUUAGAACUUGCCCAGAAGUCUGCUAGGCUGGAGCGAGUCAACGCUUGUACACAGCUGAUAGGGCAGGUCAUGUCUUUUUUCUGCCUGUUUUGCAAGGGGAAACUGAGGCGUGGAGUGCUGUAACUUUGCUCAUUAUCAGAAAGUGUGUGAGGGAUUGGGGUGAGUCCUGGCAUAGGUCAAGCAAUGGUCUGUCUCCAGGGAUGUGCUUCUUCAUGAGGAACAUCUUCCCUGUGCUGGUGGGAGUUAUGCUUGCAGAGAGGAAAAUACUGCACAGCCCAGAGUGCCUGUGGGUACAAAGGUGAUGUGAAUGGUUUUGGUCUAUUCCUUUUUGUUCAUCUGGUUCUCUUCUAGCAGAUUAGUUCUCAAAAUUAUUGCUUUUACUUCCAGAUUUUACAAGGGAGAAAAAAAAAAAAAAAGAGGAGAGGAGAGAAGCAGGAUAAUAAGUGGGACUAAAACCAUGGACUUCAUUGGGGCAAACUUUGGCUUCUUCAAGGUUCUACUUGGAAGAAUCCCAUGGGUUGGAGCUCUAGAAGGUAAGGGAGUCCAAGAGAGCUGGCUAAUAUUCAAACAUCACCUCCUCCAAGCUCGAGACCGAUGUAUCCCUACGAGCAAGAAAUCUAAUUAAGGGAGUAAGAGGUGAGGAAGGCCAGGUUCCACUUCAAAGUACAUUUGGCCAGGGAUGUCAAGGACAACAAGAAGGGCUUCUUCAAGUAUGUCGGCAGCAAAAGGAAGGUGAGGGAAGACAUAGGUCCACUGCUGAAUGAGAUGGAUGCCCUGGUGAUGCAUGAUACAGAGAAGGCAGAGUUCCUGAAUGCCACCUUCGCUUCUGUCUUUACUGCGAAGGCCGGCCCUCAGGAAUCCCAGACUCUAGAGAUAGGGAAGAAAGUCUGGCAAAAGGAAGACUUUCCCUUGAUUGAGGAAGAACAAGUCUACGCAAAAAAAUCCAUGGGUCCCGAUGGGAUGCACCCACAAGUGCUGAGAGAGUUGGCAGAUAUUAUUCCUAAGCUGCUCUUCAUCAUCUUUGAAAGGUUGUAGAGAACAGGAGAGGUGCCUGAUUACUGCAAGAAAGACAACGUCACUCCAGUCUUCAAAAAAAGCAAGAAAGAUGACCCAGGAAACUACAGGGCAGUCAGCCUCAUGUCCAUCCCUGAAAAGGUGAUGGAGCAACUUAUUCUGGAUGUCAUGUCCGAGCAUGUGGAAGAGAAAGUUAUCAGGAGUAGUCAGCAUGGAUUCACCAAGGGGAAAUCAUGUUUAACCAACCUGAUAGCCUUCUAUGAUGGUAUGACUGGCUGGGUAGAUGAGGGAAGAGCAGUGGAUGUUGUCUACCUUGACUUCAGCAAGGCCUUUGACGCCGUCUCUCGUAACAUCUUCACAGGCUGGUUUCCAAGGGGAGAUGUCACACCACAAAACUUCCCUCUGUGCCCUGCCGCAGUUGGUACUGAUUUGACCGUCUCUGUGGAGAAGCCAAGGAUCAAAUAGAUGCUCCAUGGCACCAGAGUGUUUUCUUUGCAGCCCGCAGGAACCGCUGAAGACCCCGCUCAGAAGAGGCUCCUCGGGGCGCUGGGGGUGCAGCCCCUCCCAAUUGGGGUUAGGGCCCCAAUUCUGCGAGCGGGUCGCACAGACUCUGCUCAGCGCCCGCACAGGGGACACCAAGGUAAACCCUUAUCAAAGUGUGAACGGGUGUGCAAUGUGCAACCAAAGCAAAUAGCUGAUUCUAAAUUAUUUUCAAGUGAUGUUUGUUCUCCUGUUCGCUCCUCAUCUCUGCUAUUCAAAUACAAAGGGAGAACGACUGAGUUUAGUUCUAACCCCGUUUUAAGCCUGUCUGAAAAUGAGCACGUUUUUUUUUUAAAUGAAGCUUGCACGGUAUGCUAUAAACUGCCCUCUUUUUUUUUUUUUUAUGGAUGUUUGCACUAAGCCUUGCUAAACAAGUUAGAGAGAUGAUUAACUCAUCUGAAGCGGCGCGGGAAGGCUUCGUCCCGGCUGUGUGUGCUUUCUUCAGCACACGUAGAGCCGCCGCGACUCCUUGGCGUUGUCGAGCAGGGCUCGCAAACAGGGCUGGGGCUGCACGGGUAAGGAGAAGCAGUGGCAGAAAGGGCUGGAAUUUGCACACACAUGCUGAAAAAGGAACUCAGGUUAUUUUUUUCCUUAAUGAGUAAAGAGUUAUCCCCAAGUCGGUUUCCACAGAAGUGAGACGCAGCUCCCUGGGGUGCGGGGGGGGGUUUGAAGGAGGAAACCCAAAGUUCAUGAGCAGUUUUCUUGAAAAUAUUGUUUUAAUAGCACCAGUACUCAGCCCCACACGCGGAAGAGGGACUUUGCAAGGCUUCACUUUGCUUUGUAGAGCCCUGAGGAGUUCCUUGUGUGGGUCACACUCGACCGUGUGGUGAAAACAGACGCAAAGUUCUGGCCACGGGUGAACUGCCCGGUGAGCACCCACUGCUGCACCCCACAUCCCCCCGAGCAGCUCUGGGUCACCCCCCAUCGCUCCCUUCACCCCACGGAUGAUGCCAAAUGGUAAGAAACAGGUUCCCAGGUUGACGGCAGCGCAAGAACCUGGAGAGCUUCGCCCCGUCUCACACGGGCCCUGCCUUGAAACCUAUCAAGGCAGACGGCCCCUUUGCCGUGUUUUAAACCUUGUUUUUAAUUGAAAAGUAUUUCUCCAAACACUUUAAAAAAAAAACAACAAAAGCCUGGAGAAAAACAGCACUUCAUCAUCUGCAACGCGGCUGCUGCCGUAGAUUUUUAACCUGGUUUAGAAACUUCAGCGCAUUUAACUGCGCGACCUCGUCACCCCAAAACGGC